UGAUUUAAGGAUGACUCAAGUGACACAAUUGUGUUUUUGUUGUUGUUUAUUUUUCCCCUCUCAAAUGGAACAAGUCAAACAUAGCAGAGUAAAGAAAAAAUAAAAUCUGACAAGCAAAUUAAAAAAUGCACAUUGUCAUAUUGGAAUUGAAGGUCUUCAGCCAGGUUUCUACUCCAGGUCAGUGUUUCCAAAUCUGAUGUAUUGCCCUGUUACCGAUAUGGGGCUUGACAAAAUCUUUCUCAGGCCGCAAAUUCAAUUAACUUGUUCAAGAGUUUCCAGCUGCAUUUUGGAAGUCUGUGUGUGUCAUGGUCAGGUCAAAAGA